rnacentral:rRNA from 1 species
CUUGGUCAUUUAGAGGAAGUAAAAGUCGUAACAAGGUUUCCGUAGGUGAACCUGCGGAAGGAUCAUUACAGAAAGUAAACGCGGAUCAAACCGCGAACUUCUAAACCUUUGACGAUUGACUCAUGUUGCCUCGGCGGGUUCUCCCGCCAGAGGAUACAUCAAAACUCCUGUUUUAACGGUGUUGUCUGAGCUACAAGCAACGAAUCAAAACUUUCAACAACGGAUCUCUUGGUUCUGGCAUCGAUGAAGAACGCAGCGAAAUGCGAUAAGUAGUGUGAAUUGCAGAAUUCAGUGAAUCAUCGAAUCUUUGAACGCACAUUGCGCCCCUUGGUAUCCCGAGGGGCAUGCCUGUUCGAGCGUCAUUUCACCACUCAAGCCUGGCUUGGUGUUGGGCGACGUCCCCUUUAGGGACGCGCCUCGAAACGCUCGGCGGCGUGGCACCGGCUUUAAGCGUAGCAGAAUCUUUCGCUUUGAAAGUCGGGGCCCCGUCUGCCGGAGGACCUACUCGCAAGGUUGACCUCGGAUCAGGCAGGGAUACCCGCUGAACUUAAGCAUAUCAAUAAGCGGAGGAA